UGCAAUUUAUUUGUGACAUUCUUUUACAAAAUGCAGUAAGAAUUAAAUGGUGGGCAUAUAGCAGCUAGAGAAUGUUCAUAGCAGAUAGCAAAUAGUUGGUUCUAUGUACUUGAAGUAGACUGCUAAAAUAUGAAAAUAUUUAUUUUACAUAUCAAAGAUCAAUGGUAAAGCUAUAACACAUCAUACAUGUAAUAUCAUAACCAAAGUUCGUCGAACUAGUAUUGGAGGUUGCACUAACUGACAAUUGUUUCAGUAUGGUACUGGUAUGCACCAUACCAAGCUAUGAUGUGCUAAAGACAAAACAUUGAGAGAAGAGGAGGAAA
rnacentral:lncRNA from 1 species